AUUUUUUUGUGGUUCAUACCAUAAUAAUUGUAUUUUCACACUAAUAUGUGAGAUGUGCCUUCCUCAAACAUUUUACAACAUCAGCACAUUACCUAUCUGAUG